rnacentral:misc_RNA from 1 species
GAAAAAGAAGAAAAAAAAAAAGAAAGGUUUCUUCUUUCCUUCUCUUUCUUUCUUUAUCUAUUUAUUUAUUUAAUUUAUGAUGGUAAAAUUUCUUCUUUGUUAAUCACAAUAGAACAUAGGAGUGGAUAUUUUCCCCAGAGAAAAUCAAACUGGUAUAAGCACAAAAUGUGAUUCCAAUUUCUAUUGAAGAGAUUACAAUUCAGUCUGGCACAUACUAUGGCUCUCAUGCCUCCUGAAGAUACAAACAAGGCACUUGCUUGGCUGGAUUGCCAGACUGCACCCUCCAAGUCAGAAGGCAAGCAG